GCCAAGUUGACCUGACAGAAUCAAUCUACGGUCCCAGAUGGCCACAGUUCCUCCAUUACAUUGAUCCUGACUGCUCUGUAUCACAAGGCUCCAGAUUUUAUGUGAGAGAUACACACGCACACGCACACACAUCACCCAUACAUGCACACUGGAGACAGAAGGAGAUGGGAAGAGGAGAAAAGGCAGACAGAAACUUUGCAUCUGUCUCUCCCCGGAGUAAAUUAUCACCACUGAGCCCUCUAAGGACUCUACUACCCUGACCUCUGGCAAGAGAAGCUGCCACUGAGAUUGAUUGUCAGUCACACUCACCAGACACCUGGACAGAAUCAAUCUUCAAUAAAGUAGCG